GUGUUGUGUGACUUCUGACUAUUUUCAUGCAGACAUGUAGCUAAUGAAGCCAGCUGUGUGAAACAUGAUGGAAGCAGUGGAUCUGGAAAGCCUGACACAAGAUGUUUAAAAAAAUGUGCUCAUCCGGUUUAUGAUUGAAAAAAGAAACAGUUGUGUGAAAGUGUAAAGUUUCUGAUGAAAGAUUAUCCUGACUAUGGAAGUUAACCUCAUGGUGAAAUGAAAUCAAGAAAAAAUAUUCAGAUAAAGGAUAUUUAUGGCACCAGAACCUUUCUUAAGUCAUCAAAGUCAUCAAGGAUAAAUCAGAUGGAUUAUAAGGGAUGUUUCCCCGAGCUGAUGAGCCUAUCACCAGAGGACACCGGUCAGAAUAAGAAGUUGGCCAUUUAGGACUGACAUGGAAUUUCUUCACCCAGAGUGGUGAAUGUUUGGAAUUCUGUGCACCAGAAGAAGCUCAGUCUUACGCAUGUUCAAGUCAGAAAUCAAUAGAUUUCUGGAGAUAAAUGAUGUCAAGAGGCAUGGGAGAUGGCAUGGGAAAGUAGUGUUACAGUAGAUAAUCAGCCAUGAUCCAGAUGAAUGGCACAGCAAACUUGACUGGCUGAAUGGGCUACUCCUCUUCCUAUUUUUCAAUAACAAAAGC